UAACUAGGGGGCGAGCGUUAUUCGUCGUUACUGAGUGUAAAGGGCACGUAGGUGCGUAGAUUAAUUAUAUAGAAAAUUCUAGAACUGAACUGUAGGAUAAUAUAUUAAAAUUGUAUACGUCUGGAUUAUGUUUAGGUUGAUAGAACUCUCAAAGGAGUAACGGCAGUGAAAGGCCGAGUUUGGGAUGAAUAUCGAGAGGCGAAGGCAAUUUUCCGAACAUAAUUGACGCUGAGUUGCGAAAGCUUGGAGAGCAAACAAG
rnacentral:rRNA from 1 species